rnacentral:rRNA from 1 species
UACGAAGGGUCCUAGCGUUGUUCGGAAUCAUUGGGCGUAAAGCGCUCGUAGGUGGCCUAGUAAGUCAGGUGUGAAAUCCCAGGGCUCAACCCUGGAAGUGCACUUGAAACUGCAUGGCUUGAGUACGGAAGAGGUAAGCGGAAUUCCUGGUGUAGUGGUGAAAUACGUAGAUAUCAGGAGGAACAUCGGUGGCGAAGGCGGCUUACUGGUCCAGUACUGACACUGAGGAGCGAAAGCAUGGGGAUCAAACAGG